ensembl:lncRNA
GGCUGGCUGGUAGCUGUUCUGUGGUGUACUGGCUGGUAGCUGUUCUGUGGUGUACUGACUGGCUGGCUGGCUGGUAGCUGUUCUGUGGUGUACUGGCUGGCUGGCUGGUAGCUGUUUUGUGGUGUUCUGACUGGCUGGCUGGCUGGUAGCUGUUCUGUGGUGUACUGGCUGGCUGGCUGGUAGCUGUUUUGUGGUGUUCUGACUGGCUGGCUGGCUGGUAGCUGUUCUGUGGUGUUCUGGCUGGCUGGUAGCUGUUCUGUGGUGUACUGACUGGCUGGCUGUUCGGCUGUUCUGUGGUGUACUGACUGGCUGGCUGUUCGGCUGUUCUGUGGUGUACUGACUGGCUGGCUGGCUGGUAGCUGUUCUGUGGUGUACUGACUGGCUGGCUGGCUGGUAGCUGUUCUGUGGUGUUCUGACUGGCUGGCUGGCUGGUAGCUGUUCUGUGGUGUUCUGACUGACUGGCUGGCUGGUAGCUGUUCUGUGGUGUUCUGACUGACUGGCUGGCUGGUAGCUGUUCUGUGGUGUUCUGACUGACUGGCUGGCUGGUAGCUGUUCUGUGGUGUUCUGACUGACUGGCUGGCUGGUAGCUGUUCUGUGGUGUUCUGACUGGCUGGCUGUUCUGGUGUUCUGACUGGCUGGCUGGUAGCUGUUCUGUGGUGUUCUGGCUGGCUGGCUGGUAGCUGUUCUGUGGUGUACUGACUGGCUGGCUGGUAGCUGUUCUGUGGUGUUCUGACUGGCUGGCUGGCUGCUGUUCUGGUGUUCUGACUGUCUAGCUGUUCUGUGGUGGUCUGGUGUUCUGGCUGGUAGCUGUUCUGUGGUCUGGUGUUCUGGCUGGCUGGCAGGUAGCUGUUCGGGUGUUCUGACUGGCUGGCUGGUAGCUGUUCUGUGGUGUUCUGACUACUGUAACUAAGCCUGAACUAUAGUGUAGCUAGCCUGGCAAGGGAGUGGAGCUAAGGCUUCUCUGGCUUGGGUGUGGCAGACAUCUCUUUGUUGGAACAGCUGGGCUGUAUGGAGGGGGGAUUGGGGGUGGACUUAGUAACCAACCACGUGGCUAGUGCUCCAUAAACACCACAUGGAGGAGAGCGGAGCAGUAGAGCACAUUUAACAGCAGCACUGAGGGUGACAACAAAGCACAGAGUGAGAGAGAAAGAUGGACAUACACACACGCUCCUUUGUUCUUUCUCUCUGUCACUUGCUCAUUGGUCAUCACAAAGGCAUCUUGCCCCACCCUCCUUUUGUCUUGUUCUCCUGCGUUCUCAUUCGUUCACCUUCUCUCUCUUUGUGCAGUGGGUGUAUGUCUCUCCUGGACCUCCUCUCAGCCCAUGCUGCCUGGACUGCAGUACUGAUGCUGGUAGUAAUAGUUAUUCUGCUCUGCUGCCUCGGUCCCAUUAGAGGAGAUCGCUAGCCAUAUGCUGCACAUCGUGUUCUGUGGGUUUGUGCAGUGUGCUCACACACACACAGUCAUUUGCAUCAGUGAGGUAGUUAGACGUGGAGCAUACAGCAUGCGAUGAAGGGUUACUGUUCGGACAUAAAAUAGAAGGCAUUAACAACGAGUAUGUAGGCAAACUCCUUACUGCUCUGCUGUAGAAC